UACGUAGGCAGCGAGCGUUGUUCGGAGUUACUGGGCGUAAAGGGUGUGUAGGCGGUUUUCUAAGUUUGGUGUGAAAUCUCCCGGCUCAACCGGGAGGGUGCGCCGAAAACUGGGAGACUAGAGUGCGGGAUGGGAGAGUAGAAUUCCUGGUGUAGCGGUGAAAUGCGUAGAUAUCCGGAAGAACACCGGUGGCGAAGGCGGUUAGCUGGGGUCGGACUGACGCUGAGGCGCGACAGCGUGGGGAGCAAACAGG
rnacentral:rRNA from 1 species